rnacentral:rRNA from 1 species
AUGGGGGGCGACGGCAAGUUGGGCGCCGCCGAGGCCGCCGUCUGCUGCAUGUGCGGCGACCACGGCCUCCUGCCGGAGCUGUUCCGCUGCGCCGCCUGCUCCGUCCGCUCCCAGCACACGUACUGCACGGAUCGGUACCCGAAGGCGGAGGCGUACGGCACAUGCAACUGGUGCCUGAGGGCAGGGCAAGGAAGCGGCGACGGCGGCGGCGCCGUUCCUAGCCCGGUGAUAUCCACCUUCAAAGCGCCCGGGCCGGCCGCUGACCGCAUGGAUGUCCCGGCUUGCAGCGGUGGCAGUAGAUCGAUGCCGGGGAAGGUCGCGGCUCGCGGCGACUUCGCCGCGGAGUUGAACAAGCCUAUCAAGAAGCAGCAACAGCGGCGGCGGCUCCUGCUGCAGCGGUCGGCGUCUGACGUGAGCAGUGGCGUCCGUGCCAACCGCGGCGCCGGGCCGCCCUCUCCUGGCGUCGCCCGGGGAAGACCGAGGGUUCGGAGGUACAAGCUCCUGGAAGAGGUGAUCAGUAGCUAG